GGCACUGCUGGGUCUCCUGCACUUCCUCUGCCUCUCUCCAGGGCCAAACUCAAACCCUUAGAACAGCAUAUGUUCUUUUGAAGAGGGUAAAGGUUUCAGCAAGAAAGAUUUUUGGCUGCCCUGCCUGCCCCUUUGCAGUUCAAAUAUCCUUCAAAACAACUGCAUCUAUUUUUUUUUUUUGCCUUUGCUAAAAAUCAACGGUGAAUUUGAGGUGAUAAAAUUUAAAUCUGAUGAAAUGUUCCUCUUAAGUGUACAUUGAACAAAUGCAAACAACUGUCAAGACAUAAAACAUUGCUUUUACCGCAGAGGCAACUGCUGUUCUGACGCAGAUUACUACAUUAAUUUUGCCUAUUCUGGGACAUCGUGUAAAUGGGAUC